GGUCGUUUGUGAAGGAAAAGGAGGUUAUUUCCCAGGCUGGAGGAGGUGGUGGAGUUUAGGGCUCUUGUGAGAGAAUAAGGAGGUGGCCUUGAAGCUGAAUGCUUUUGCAUCUUGAUUUCUCCAUUGGUGUUGGUCUACUUGAGCAGGUGGGACAUUACAGCAACGUCAGCCGCAUCCAAGGUACACAUGGAAUACCAUGAGGAAUGCUGUGCCAGCAUGUGGGAUCCAGCCCCAGAAAACAGCUGGAGGAGCCACAUAACCCCUUUGAAUCUCUCUUCACCCUUGACUGAGGUGGGAAGGGAGAAGAUGAUGAUGUUGUUAAAUGCCAGUGAUAAGGACAGUUUGGCUUUUGUAUGGUUAGAAGAGAUGGAGGAGGCAGAAACAUUCCUGGUUAUAUCAGGCAGCUGUGGAUGGUGAUGGGUCAUUUCACUCCAUUAUGGUUUCUGGCAAGGGAAUAUUAAAAGGGGUGUGAGGGCAUAGUUUCUCAGCAAUGACUUCAUUUGGCUGUCUAAGCAAACAGCCCCUCCUCACCAGGUGCAAAAGGCCUUGUAUUUGUGUUUUUUUCUUUCAUGAAGUGCAAAGAAAUACCUAAAGUGAAAAUAGCACCAGUGGAUUGUAUCUGCUCAACAGCCCUGGUGGUCUCUACCUCCUGUUAAACAGCAGUGAUAUGAGCCAAGGCAGGGAAAAGUGAUGAGCCUAGGUAUUUUAUACUUAAACUGUAUUUUUUUUCUCCACUUUUAGCUGCAUCAUCUGUCACAGAGAGAAGCAGAGCGACAAAGAGAAAGGGUCAGUAAAUUUUAAGCUGGUCUAGUCAGACUGGAGAAGAAAGAUCAGCAAAACCGAGAGAAAGUAAAUGGGACGAUGUUACCCAGCCUGCCUUCACCAUCACACUGUGCUGCCUUGGAUGCUUCCUGCCUUGGCAAUGCCCUCAAGAGACGUGGCAAUUUGUAGCCAUGAAACUACCAGUUUGGCUAAGGUCCCCUAGGAGCAGAGCCCCAGUAUGGGCGUCCUACACAUGAGCAUGGGCUGGGUGUAGUGUGCAAUACCUCUCUGCUUUCCUGGCUGCUAGGGAGGCAGCUUCACCCUGCAGAUGGGGGUUAGAGCCCAUCAGACUCGCUUUCUUCAGUAACCUGAGCCAGGAUUUGAGCCGAGGCCUCCAAAGGUGAAAGGCUAAUAUGCCUGCCUCCCUCUCUGCCACUGAGCCCCUUCUGCUUUGUUGAGGCGAUGUGCUAACUUGGGGAAAUCACUCCUGCGACCCAUAAAUACUGAACUGAAUGAGAGCCCCCCGCUCUGUGCGCAGGGAUAAUGCGCCGGCUGCAGGGGUGUUUGCUCUGUGACGUUCAGCAAACAGGCUGCAAAGAAAGCUCAGCAAGAUCCUGGACAAAAGGAGAGGACAAUCAGCUUGCUGGGUUCAAUUAUGGUCUGGAAUUUAAUCCCAGUAGGUUUGGUAGGACUUCCCCCCGGGCAAAAUCCAUCUCACCAGUCGGUUUCUCUGAGGUCUUGGGACAGCAUGCGGAGGUAUUAGGCUCAUAAAAGGUUUCUUAUUCACAGAAAGCCCUGUAGAUACCACAGGAGCUUGUACAGAUUACUUCUGGGUGAGGCCAUAAUGUUGGAAGUGAAAGGGGUUGGGAUGCUCUUGCAUCCCUGGGAAAUCCAAGCUGCAAAGAAGAGAGGGGUGGUUAAAGCCCAUAAAUAGUUCUCAGCUAAUGAAAUUGCUGGGUGGGGAAAAGGGCAAAAUAGCUCCUUUUUAAAGCAGAUGAGGCAAACAUGCCUCCCAACAUAUUUUGUGCUCAUAAAACUCAGUCUCGGUUUCUAGGUAACUAAAAGAGAUACCCCAGAGAGAAGCUUCUAAGGGUUUUCCACAGCUGCUGGAUUUGAAUAACCAAAGGGAAGAGCUGGAUAUCAACUUUAUCUGGUGCAGAGCGUGGCUAACCCCAUCCCACCUCUUUUGAGGCUCACUUGUGUACAAAGCAAACCUGAAAGUCUGGGGGCCCUUUACAUUGGGAGAUCCACUGUUGGGAUCCAACAUGCACCAAGCUCAAGACUAAAAGACUUAUUAUAUGAU